UAGAAGGGUGCGCCCUUACAGAUGGAAC
rnacentral:piRNA from 1 species